UUACGGCCACAUCUCGUUGAAACACCAAUACCCGUACGAUCACCGAAAUUAAGCAGCGUUGAGCUUGGUCAGUACCGAGAUGGGUGACCGUUUAGGAAGAGCAGAAAGUG